AGCGAACGUUAGCGGCGCGCCUAACAUAUGCAAGUCGCACGAGAAAGGGCUUCGGCCCCGGUAAAGUGGCGCACGGGUGAGUAACACGUGGGCAACCUGCCCAACCCUGGGGGAUAACCUGCCGAAAGGCGGGCUAAUACCGCGUACGAGGGCUCGACUUCGGUCGGGUUCUGAAAGCAGGCCUCUGUAUACAAGCUUGUGGGGUUGGAUGGGCCCGCGCUCCAUCAGCUAGUUGGUGAGGUAACGGCUCACCAAGGCUACGACGGAUAGCUGGUCUGAGAGGAUGAUCAGCCACACUGGAACUGAGACACGGUCCAGACUCCUACGGGAGGCAGCAGUGGGGAAUCUUGCGCAAUGGACGAAAGUCUGACGCAGCGACGCCGCGUGGGUGACGAAGGCCUUCGGGUUGUAAAGCCCUGUGGGGUGAGACGAACAGCUGGGGUUCAAAUAGGGCCUUGGUCUGACGGUAUCACCUUAGCAAGCACCGGCUAACUCUGUGCCAGCAGCCGCAGUAA
rnacentral:rRNA from 1 species